AAUAAUACCACUUAAAACAAUCUCCCCCCACCGCCCCCCCUUUCUUUCUUUCUCUCUCUCCCUCCCUCUCUCCCUCCCUCCUCUCUCUCUUUCUCUCCCCCCCCUUUUCUCUCUCCUCUCUCCUAUACUAACUUGUUUCAAAUUGGAAGUAAUGAUAUGUAUUGCCCAAGGAAAAAUAAAGGAUGUCCCAUCAAGGGAGGGAGGGGGUGGGAGAAUCCAAAUAGUAUUUUUGUGGGGAAAUAUCUAAUAUACCUUCAGUCAACUUUACCGAGAAGUCCUGGAUUUCCAAGAUCCGCGUCUGAAAGUGCAGCACAAUGGGAGUUGGGAGUGAUGCGGUUGAUUCUGCUGAUCUGGCUGGCUAGGUGGGUGUCCCCUUCUGCCCUUGCUUCUCCAUGUGUCCCUCCUGAGGCUAUGCGCUCAGUCGAAGAGGACGACCAUACACCGAUAGAGGAGGACCCGUCUUUGGUCAAGGGCAUACGAGUAGCUGCGCACCCCCGGUAGAGCCGCCCAACAAGCUCUCAAGAAACAAAAAACCUAUUUCUUAUAUGUCAGAGUGUUUUAACUUUUCAGGGAAAAAAUACUCUAUAAACAGAUAAAGGCUAUGUUGUUAUUAUUUUUAUUCUAGGAAGGAGACUCACGUUCUAUUAGGUUAGAACUAUUUUAAAGAAAAACAUGGCUGGGUGCAGUGGCUCACACUUGUAAUCCCAGCACUUGGGAGGCUGAGGCGGGUGGGUCAUUUGAGCUUAGGAGUUUGUAAACAGCCUGGCCAACAUGGUGAAACCCCAUCUUUACUAGAAAUACAGAAUUAGUUGGG
rnacentral:lncRNA from 1 species